UGGCGGCAGGCCUAACACAUGCAAGUCGAGCGGUAACAUUUCUAGCUUGCUAGAAGAUGACGAGCGGCGGACGGGUGAGUAACGCGUAGAAAUCUACCUAGUAGUGGGGGAUAGCCCAGAGAAAUUUGGAUUAAUACCGCAUACGCCCUACGGGGGAAAGCGGGGGAUCUUCGGACCUCGUGCUAUUAGAUGAGUCUGCGUCGGAUUAGCUUGUUGGUGAGGUAAUGGCUCACCAAGGCGACGAUCCGUAGCUGGUCUGAGAGGAUGACCAGCCACACUGGAACUGAGACACGGUCCAGACUCCUACGGGAGGCAGCAGUGGGGAAUAUUGCACAAUGGGCGCAAGCCUGAUGCAGCCAUGCCGCGUGUGUGAAGAAGGCCUUAGGGUUGUAAAGCACUUUCAGCAGUGAGGAAAGGGGUGUCGUUAAUAGCGCCAUCCUGUGACGCUAACUGCAGAAGAAGGACCGGCUAACUCCGUG
rnacentral:rRNA from 1 species